rnacentral:miRNA from 1 species
UGAUGACCAUCAUGAUGAUGAUGAUGAUGAUCAUGAUCAUGAUGAUCAUGACCACCGAAACGGUUACCAUUCACUCUCCUCCUUGAUUAUCAUCAUCAUCAUCAUCAUCUUCUUUU